AAUCAACGCUGGCGGCGUGCCUCAGACAUGCAAGUCGAACGAUUAAGACUUCCUUCGGGAAGUGUAUAAAGUGGCGCACGGGUGAGUAACACGUAAGUAAUCUACCCUCGAGUGGGGAAUAACGUUCGGAAACGAACGCUAAUACCGCAUAAUGCAGCGGCAUCGCAAGAUGACAGUUGUUAAAGGAGUAAUUCGCUUGAGGAGGAGCUUGCGGCAGAUUAACUAGUUGGUAAGGUAACGGCUUACCAAGGCUACGAUCUGUAUCCGGUCUAAGAGGACGGUCGGACACACUGACACUGAAUAACGGGUCAGACUCCUACGGGAGGCAGCAGUCGGGAAUUUUGGGCAAUGGGCGAAAGCCUGACCCAGCAACGCCGCGUGAAGGAUGAAGUAUUUCGGUAUGUAAACUUCGAAAGAAUGGGAAGAAUAAAUGACGGUACCAUUUAUAAGCUCCGGCUAACUACGUGCCAGCAGCCGCGGUAAUAC
rnacentral:rRNA from 1 species